CACUUUCACUUUCGUUUCUGUGGAAAGACCGGUUCUCGGAGGCGUGAGCCGUCUCUGCAGGAUGAGUAUAAAUAACAGAUGAAGAUGCACUUCACAUUAACUGCACUACGCUGCUCUGAACCUUAAACAAAUCAUCAGCAUGGUCUUAUCUGAGGGGAGCGAUGAAGGUGAUGACGACGACGAUGAUGAAGAAGAUGAUGGAGGUCCUGGAGUAAGUGUCUGCUGCCAAGGGUAAACAACUGCUCCAGACCUUGAUGCAGCCAGUGUUUAAAAAGACCCAAUAGCACGCUGGAUCAAAAACAAAACUGUGUGCAAUUGCUGAUACGAGCCAGCAGCAGCCAAAGCAAUCACACAGCUUCAGUUGUGACGAGCAUCACAACCCAAGUACCUCCCGAGCCAUGGCGAACCCGACACGUAGACCACGACGACUCCAUGGAAAGCGAUGGAUCUCGCAACUUUACCACCACUCGGCUGUGCAGUGGCAGCACCAUCGCUUUUCUUCAGAGCGGCUCUGCUUUCCCCGUCUGUUUGUGCAACCCCGAAGAAGCCGCGGAGAGAAGAAUGAAAUGUUCACGGAGAGGUGAUCCCUCGAUGAGAGCUGCUGGUCCAGAGGUUGGAAGAUGUGAGGCAGUUUUUUUUUCUGCGAUCGCAAUCUUCCUCGAUCACCAUUGUGCCACCGAGCAACGCACAUGACUCCAACGCAGGACUGACUGAUCCUGCAAAAGGUCUACAGUAGUCAGGAAUCCAUUAAAAUACAAACAGACAAUGGGCUGGAUGGGCAUGUUGUUGAUGUACUAAUGGAUGCAUGUUGCUCACAUAUAUAUAGGGAGGUCAUGCCCUUUUUAAAGCCCAAGUGUAUUUGUUGUAAAGAUGUAUUCAGACUAUGGCUGCUUGGUCCAAAAAGCUCUCCAGUAAAUCUAGCAGAAGGUGUCUGGAGCAGCGGAUCAGGGUUGGAGGUAAAAGCCCACUGUCUUUCUUUCUUUAUUUUACCUCAUUUUGAUGCCACGUCAACGCCGCUCAGCCAUAGAGAGCGUGAUCACCGCGAGACGACACGCUCACCAGAAAAGGUUUCCCAGGCACACCGGUUCUGCAGGUUGUGCUGACCUGGUAGAAUCUACUGGUUCAGAUAUCUUACUAACGAUACACAAUAUGACGCACUGCUGAAUUUCACGCACAGGUGUUAUCGCAGUGCAGUUAAACAGUUACGCCAUAUAGGUAACGUACCUGUAACGAGACAUGGUCUCAUACAGAACAAGGUCCCGAUCAAAGGAUCUGUGAAGGUCUAGCCAGAAAUGAAGCCCAAUAGAUGUGACACAACAUCAGAGGCAAUCAUAUCCUAUUGAGCACCUAUAUCGUUUUCUUGGUUAUGUAGCGAGGGAAUUGUCAGUGAGUGAUCUGUUUAGAAAUGUCAUCUGCCUAAAUGUAUUGCUGUCUGAUAAGCUACACGGUAACUUCCCAAUUACAUGCUGUAAAAUAAACUAAACAAAACUUUGCUUGUGUGUGUGUUUGUGUUUACCUUAUGGAGGAGAAAGCUAGAAGUGAACAAAAAAAAAGUGUUUUGGCCAUUCAAACUGGGCUAAAUUAGAGAAAGCACAAUUUCUGAGAAAUCACUGUUCAUAAUUUAGGAUUACAAGAAAUUUAAGAUGAUAUAAAAUGUGUAUAUUAUUUUUGAUAUUUUAGUAUUUUUAAAUACCAUUAUAUUAAUAUUCUGAAUUAGCUUUUAUUUUUUAUCUUUUCAGUUUUCAUUAUAAUUUUAGUUUAGGAUUGAGUUAGUGAUUAUUUCUAUAGCUUUAAUUAAUUUUUAUUUCAGUUUUAGUUAACAAGAACGAUGUUUAUAUACUGUUAAUUAUUAAACAUAAUGAAAAAAAUAAAAUUUCAACUAAUACUAGUACAUUAUAUAAAUUAAACAGAAGUUGAUUGUUAAUAUUAACUAAUGUUUCUGGACAUAUCUUAAACAUGUAGUGUUUCAUUCUGAAAAAUGAAAUAUAUCACCAUUUAUAUAAAUUGUUUGCAUUUUUUUUCAUCUCAGUUUCUUAUUAAUUCAAAUUUAAAAGGCUUUCUCAAUUCCUCAAAAAAUAGAUAGAUGGAUAUAUAGAUAAACAGAAAGAUUUGUGUGUGCGAGUCAUGAUGAUUGGCAACGUUUUGAAGAUUGUAGUGAAAACGAAAAUGAAAGGAAAUGUUAAUUUCAGUGUAACACUCAUGAACAUUUUAUGUUUUUUCCCUCACGUGCUCUGUGACUUAUUUCCUCCUGUGUUUAGUUAUGUCGUUAUGUUUAGGUGUGUCUUGUUUGGCGUCUUCAUUUGCCAGUGUACAUAAGUCCUAGUCUGUUCAAUUAGUUUUUGUCCAGUGUUAACGUUGCUUGUGUAUCCUUCCUGACUUGAGUUAAUUAAAGACUGUUUACUGUUCCAUAAUCCAUAUUCUUUUUACUAAGAUUAAAAUAAAAAAUACCUUAGUUUUAGUUGAAUGUAAUGAAAAGUAUUGUAAGAAGGAUUUUCUGUAGAUAAAUUAAACUCAAUCUAUUUUAAAAUUCUGUUUUAAUUUAAUAUUUAGAUUUUUUUUCAUACUGAGAAAUUAAAAGUACUACAAACUAUACUCAUUUUAUUUCAUUUAAACUUUAAAACAAAUUCAAUUUCAUUUUAUUUAAAUAAAACGCACAUGAGAAAUGUCUUGUUAGCAGAAUUUUAAUCAAUGAUGAUUUGAAUGAAGAUAAAUACCAUUAGGGACAUACAAAAGCCAUUUGUGUGAAUACUAACAAAGUGUAUGCAUGCGCUUUUCACUAAAAUCAUCACACAUUUUUCUAGUUUUUAGUGUUGCACUGUAUAUAUACAGUAUGAAUUAUCCAAAUGAAGAAAUAUUUUUGGAAAGUAAGAAGUAUAUUUUUUUCCCCUAAGAUGUUUCAAGUCUCCAGACAUAUAUUAUUUCUUCUGUUAAUGUUUUCUUUAUCUUUCAUCAUUUAGAGUGAAGUCAUACCAGGAUGUUUGCUGAGGCCACCGCCGAUCUAACGUUUCCCGAUUGGCUGCUGCAGGUCACCAUAUGCUUGUGAUUUUUUUUAGGGAGGUGUCAACAGUUUCUAGAAAGAAUAAAUAAAGAACAAAGAUCUCCUUUCUGUGAGGUUGCACUGCUCUGAACUUUUCAACAAACCCUCAGCAUGAUCAUAGCAGAGGGGAGUGAUGAAGAGGAGGAGGACGAUGACGACGAUGAAGAAGAAGUUGCAAUAAGCUGCAAUAAGAGUCUGUUGCCAAGGGUAGACUGGCAGUCAGUAGUAUACCAGCUUCUGUUUGCUUGUGUUGUGGUUGGUGUCGCAACUCAAAGCGACUUCUGUACGUCAUGUACGUAAGCUGACUCUUUAAAGAGAACGUUGGAUCUGUGCGAUUCUUCAGAAUGUCUGCAACAUUGAAGAAACAAUGGAAAGCAGAAGAAAAAUGUACAGUCGUGACCUGAUGUAGGUUACGGUGCAGUUUGCAUUAAUUAAAUGCAUGUUAUUUUCACAAGGGAUGCACUCUUAAAAAUAAGGGUUCCUUACCGGUAUCAACAGUUCACCUUCCUUUUUUCAUCUUUCUUUGCAAGAACAUUCUUGAAAAACAGGUCACUGAAAGGUUUCUUCUGGAAACAAAACUGGUUCUUCUGUCAUUGUUGGAAAACCCCUCGUUUGCAACCUUUAUUUUUAAGAGUGUCGGGUUCACAGACAGCUUGUGCUGGAGGUUGAACCAAUCUUACUAACACUCAAUGUAACAUAUACUCAAUGUGCUAAACUUGUCCCCUAACAAGUUAUAUGUUGUAGGUUACCAGUUAUAAGUUGCAAGUUGUUAGCUCUAAGCAGCAAGUUGCAAAUUGUGUAUAUCACAGUUUUAUGUAAAUCAUGUUGUUUAAUCAAUAUGUAUUGCAUUAUUUUACUGUCAAGUGUCCAUAUGUGGCAUUUUGUAUGUUUGUGCACGAACUUGGAUUAAUUGAUUAAUCCUACUUUGUCUGAAUAUGGGCUUCAAAUAAAGGACUUGGUUAUGUGGCGGGGGGUCAUUAGCAAAUGAUCGUUCAGUUAUACAGAUUUUCUUCGUGUUGUGAAUGGUUUGCUUUCUAAUGAGCUACGUGUUGAACUUCCCCCCCCAAAUAAAAUAAAAAUAUAUAUUGUAAACUGUCAA